AUACGUAGGGCGCGAGCGUUGUUCGGAAUUACUGGGCGUAAAGCGCGUGUAGGUGGCCAGGUAAGUCAGGUGUGAAAGCCCUCGGCUCAACCGGGGAAGUGCACCUGAAACUGCCUGGCUAGAGGGCGGCAGAGGGAGGUGGAAUUCCUGGUGUAGAGGUGAAAUUCGUAGAUAUCAGGAGGAAUACCGGUGGCGAAGGCGGCCUCCUGGACCGUUCCUGACACUGAGACGCGAAAGCGUGGGGAGCAAACAGGAUUAGAAACCCUUGUAGUCC
rnacentral:rRNA from 1 species